AUUGAACGCUGGCGGCAUGCUUUACACAUGCAAGUCGAACGGUAACAGGUUAAGCUGACGAGUGGCGAACGGGUGAGUAAUGCAUCGGAACGUGCCCGAUCGUGGGGGAUAACGCAGCGAAAGCUGCGCUAAUACCGCAUACGAUCUGAGGAUGAAAGCGGGGGACCGUAAGGCCUCGCGCGAUCGGAGCGGCCGAUGUCAGAGUAGGUAGUUGGUGGGGUAAAGGCUCACCAAGCCAACGAUCUGUAGCUGGUCUGAGAGGACGACCAGCCACACUGGGACUGAGACACGGCCCAGACUCCUACGGGAGGCAGCAGUGGGGAAUUUUGGACAAUGGGCGAAAGCCUGAUCCAGCAAUGCCGCGUGCAGGAAGAAGGCCUUCGGGUUGUAAACUGCUUUUGUACGGAGCGAAAAGGCUCUCUCUAAUACAGGGGGCUCAUGACGGUACCGUAAGAAUAAGCACCGGCUAACUACGUGCCAGCAGCCGCAGUAAAAC
rnacentral:rRNA from 1 species